ACGCGUCAUGUGGUGUAGAGGUUGGGUGAGAAAGGGACGUGUUUCAUUAUCAAGCAGGUACAAUACCCGCAAGGCUUAGAAGGUGAGGGUGAGAAAAAAAUUUGUAUAAAAGGAGAGAGAAAAGGAUACAGACAUCAGUUGGGUGAGCAUCACCGACACGGCAACAACUCCUGUGGACUGCCUGUACCAACUGGCUUCUUCAUCACAUUACCAGCUCGCAACAUUUGCCAGUUAUUACACCACCAAGGUUCCAGGGAAUACCAUCACAGCUUGUGAUUUCCAGAGCCACUACACCGAUGCCGUGAAUUGUAGAUUAUAGACAUCUUAUCCUUCAGUUGCUGCAAGCAACCCAUCCUCAUCAGCGACGUCAACCUGCAGAAGGAUAGGCCAGUUUGCUUCGAAGGUCACGAAAAUCAUUACGUAAAACGUGUCGUGUGGUGUAGAGGUUGGGUGAGAAAGGGAUCUGUUGCAUCUUUAUCAAGCAGGUACAAUACCCGCAAGGCUUAAGAGGUGAGGGUGAGAAAAAAAUUCGUAUAAAAGGAGAGAGAAAAGGAUACAGACAUCAGUUGGGUGAGCAUCACCGACACGGCAACAACUCCUGUGGACUGCCUGUACCAACUGGCUUCUUCAUCGCAUUACCAGCUCGCAACAAUUGUUCGCAGUUAUGGUCAACUAUGAUGUCGUGCUGCUGUCGGAUGUUGUAUCGUUGAUGGCUGGGUCGACCACUAGUUUGCCAAUGUCUUUUGGGCACGGACACCAAACCGCAAUGCCGGCGCCCUACUACACAACAACAGCAUACGCUUCAGCCGGUUAUUACACCAUCAAGGCUCCAGGGAACUACACCACAACUUAUGAUGUCCAGAGCUACUACACCGACGUCCUGAAUUAUAGUUAUCCUUCAGUUGCUGCAAGCAUGUUGUUCUGCUGCUGCUGGGUGUUGUAUUUAGCUGAUGGGCCAGGAUUCAGACCCAAAACCUAAAAGUAGAGAAGGAAGGUGAUAGAUCAGUUGAGUGAGCAUCUCCGAUCCGGCAACAGUUGCAGCUGCACUCUUCCAAUUCUCAAUUAUAGGGCUUUGUGCUGCUGUUGAAUGUUGUAUCGUUGCUGGCUGAGUCGACCACUGGUGUACCGAUGUUCCCUGGGUAUGGCGGAUACCAAGCCGCAACGCUGUUGUCUUACUACACAACAACAUAGGUGACGACCUGUUACUACACCGGGACUUCCAAUGACUACACCGAAAAGGCUGAAUAUUACACAAGGACGUAUGCUACUCCAGUUUACUACACCGAGGAACCUAAGCAUUACUUUGCUCCGAGCUACAACAGAGGCUCCUGUUAAGUACACCACCAACGCAUCUGAAUGUUAUAGAUAAUCUACGCUGCCCUCAACUACUACACUGAAGCUUCGAAGUGCUACACCAUCAAUAUACAAUCAAUAAGCAACGUUAUUUGGUGACGUGCUGAUGUUUAACUUUUUAUUUUUGAUGCAUAUGACCGUUGGUGUAGUGAUGUUUCCUGGGUAUGGCGGCUGGCGGGUAUUAAACCGCAACGCUUCUGUCUUAUUACUCAACAACAUACGUAACGAACUGUUACUACACCGGGACUUCCAACUACUACAACGAAACAGCAGAAUAUUACACAACUACGUGUACUACCCCAGUUUACUACACCGAGGAACCUAAGCUUUUUACAAGUUAAUAACUCUGCUCCGAGCUACUACCAUACACUCUCAACGCCCACGAGUGUUACAAUACAACCUACGCUGCCCCCAACUACUACAAUGAUGCUCCGAAAUAUUACACCAUCAAGGCACAACCAAUUCGCAAUCUUGGAUUACUAAGGUGUUGUGCUGCUGUUGGGUGUUGUAUUGUUGAUGGCUGGUCGACCACGAGUGUACCGAUGUCUCCUGGGUAUGGUGGUUUUCAAGCACUAGCAGCAAUAGAAGAGUACACCACAAUGCUGCCUUACUACUUAAAAACGAUAACGUAUGCAACACCUACUUACAACACUGAUGCUCGUAAAUACUGCACCUCCAAGGCUCCAAGAAUACUACACGAAUAUCUACGCUGCUCCGAGGUACUGCACGGAAGUAUCAGACCCCGACUAACAUCAACAAGACGUCUGAGUACUACACUGAGGAUCUUAAAUAGUACACCACCAAAGGUACUACACCGAGGCUGCAGUUUAUUAAACUACCAAAUCGGUCGAGUACCGAGUACCAAGUACUACCCCUUAACCAACAACAACUGCCAUAAUCGGAUGAAAUGUUCGCAAUCAUGGGAUGGCAUCGUUGGAAGCUGGGUAGAUUAUUGGUGUACUGAGGGUCCUGGAUAUGGCGUUGUAUCACCCACGGCAAAGUGCAUCACGUAAACUACAUCAAGAUUUUUAGGUACUACACCAUCAAGGCACCGGCACCGGAAUACUACACUACGCAAACUGCCCCUGCCUACUAAACCGUGGACCUUAAUUACAACAACAACCGGCGACAAUUGCACUCUUCCAAUUCUCAAUGAAAGUUAACUAUGGUUUCGUGCUGCUGUUAAGUGUUGUAUCGUUGAUGGUUGAGUGGACCACUGGUGUAUCGAUGUUGCCUGUGUAUGGCGGAUAUUAAACCGCAACACCACUGUCUUGCUACACAACAAAAUACGUAAAGACCAGUUGCUACUCUGGGCUUAUCUAUUGCUGAACCGAAAUGGCCGAAAAUUACACAUCCACGUAUGCUACCUCAGUUUACUACACCGAGGAAUUCAAGUGCUACUGUGCUCCGAGAAACGACAGAGCUGUUUACUACACCACCAACGCCACAGAAUGUUAAACUACAACCUACGCUGCCCACAACUUCACUGAAGCUCCGAAGUACUACACCAUCAAGGCACAACCAAUUCGCAAUCAAGGGUGAAUAUGCUUU